GUCAAUAGUAGUGUAAGGGUAUGUCGGUCACAGUGCCUAUGUCAUUCCCCUCGCUUCAUCUCAUCACGUAGGCAUUUUUAUCAUUUCACAUCAUCACAAGAAGGGGGACCAGGUGGCAGUCAUAACACAGUGACACUGCCUGCAUAUUUACACUCUUUAAAAGUACCAACAUCAAAAUUCAAAAGUGACAGCAACUUGGAAGAGAAUCACAAUCAAUAGAUCAGUCUUUUGAGGAAUGCUGCAUCACCAGUGAUCUCCAUGGCAUAAAGAACACUAUUGCAUGGAAAAAUACAACUACUAACAACCUGAAUUAAAGUAAUUCAAAAGAACUUGAAAUUUUAGGAAUACUUUAUCCAAUGUCACUUACAUUUUGUUGGUUAUGUAUGCAAAUGAGUGAUAUAUGAUCAUGUACGAUGCAUGAUCAGUAUGAUUAAAAAUAUUAUGUCAAAUAAAUAUA